rnacentral:rRNA from 1 species
UACGUAGGGGGCAAGCGUUGUCCGGAAUUAUUGGGCGUAAAGAGCGUGUAGGCGGUCCGGUAAGUCGGCUGUGAAAGUCCAGGGCUCAACCCUGGGAUGCCGGUCGAUACUGCCGGACUAGAGUUCGGAAGAGGCGAGUGGAAUUCCCGGUGUAGCGGUGAAAUGCGCAGAUAUCGGGAGGAACACCUAUGGCGAAGGCAGCUCGCUGGGACGUUACUGACGCUGAGACGCGAAAGCGUGGGGAGCGAACGGG